AAAGUAUAUUGUCUCCCACGCAUAGGCACGGUCCCCCCAAAUCUUAAACUCUUUCUGGGAUCAGAUCCUACAUAGCUUCUCCAAUCCUGUCCUUCUGGGGUCAUCUUGACAGGUCGCCAACUGCAAUCACUAUCAUAAAAGGAGUCUGUUUCUUUCUAGGACCAGCAGGUCUCAGCUGCUUGGUUCACCAUGGGAACCUAAGAAUGCAUCCCCUGAAUGCAGAGUUGCCUUCCUCCCAGGCUGCUUCCAAGGAUACACAAAACCCAGCAAAGAUAAAUAGAAGACGUGGAACGUGAAUUAUAAUGUCAGGCCCGCUCACAACCUCUGCGCCCCGCUCCACAUAAUAGGCCCGAAUUCAUAACGCCGUUCAAAAAUGAGAUGGGGAAACAGAGGCCUGGAGCCGUGAGAAGAUGAGCAGCCUGCAGCAUGACCUCCCCUGGCCUCUGAGACCUGCCCGGCUGCGGACUCCUGACUACUCACACCCGUGUGUCAUUCACUGGGGCACGUGGUGUGUGUCCACCCAUCUGCUCUCCUUGGCUGGCAUCACGGGGGCCUGUGGGCCGUUUCCCGCCCUCAGCACAGUGUCGGCCACAUAGGAGGAGCCUAAGGAUGUGAGCUCUGGUGGCUAAACUGUGGCCGGGCUUGGCAGCUCCGAGCGGGCUCUGAACAGCACGGUGGCCCGAUGUGAGGCGAGUGGUGCUGAUGAGGGAGCUGAGGGAGCCCCAGAAGGAAAAAGCAAGCAGCCCAGAGGGAGCAGCGCCCGAAGACCACCCAACACAGGCCCCACUGCGACAGGGAUCAAGGGUCAGUCACCUUCCCAACCAACAGUUCAUCGGAGCAGACGCAUGACGGCCCCUCCCUCUCCUGUCCGGCCUUCCCAGGGGAGCCUGGGGGACAGAUCUUAGACACUCUGGCACCAACGGGAGCCCAGCCUCCCUUUUCAUGGUGACUUAUCCAGAGGCACCCUUGUUUUGUUUGUUUGUUUGUUUGGGAUAAAAGACACACAUUCCUGGGUUUUGUUUGUUUGCUUGUUUCUUAGGACAGAGGCACCCUUGAAUGCAGCUCUGGAAAGCAAGCCACCCCCCACUUUCCCCUGGGACCCGAGGGUCUUCCUUGGACUUCUCAGCUCCCCGCCUCUCUCCAGAACUGGGGUGAGGCAAGCCAGGGCAGAGACGGGGACCCACUUCUGAACAGGAGGAGGGAGAACCACACCCACAAGAGCCCCUCUCUGCCUGCCUUCUACUCAGCUGCUGUCCCAACACAGACGGGCCUCCCCAGGGCCCCGCACCAGGGCAUUCAUUUGUCCUGAAGACAUGGUGUCCUCAGCUGGGCAUUCCCUUCGGGAGCCCAAGAAGCUGCCAGUUGAGCCCAGGCACGGGGUCAGGGCUGAUACGGGGUCUCUGGGAACCACGGGAGACCUUGUGUACCCAACACCCACCAGUGGGGAACCGCAAAGGGCCCCGCUGCUGCCCUGAACGGACCGUCCCAAGGGUCUGAAAGUGACUAGAAACCGAGAAAGACCGUCCCUUCGCUCCAUCCAGACAGCCCCGUAGACACGAAAAAAUGCAACUGGAAAUCUGGCACCUGGCACCGACUGCGCCAUGGGAGCUCCUGGGCCUCAAACCAGAAGAGGAAUUCACCUUUGUCCGCAGGUGUUCAAAGGCGUCGUCUCACGGAAUCCUUAUCACACCUCCACGAGAUACCGAGGCAGCCGUACACACGUGUGUGGGUUAUUUGACGCUCUUCCCACCAAGGGGUGGGGAAGUGCGGGUGGGCUCAGGACCGCUUUGAACACCACAGGAGUGAUGCUGUGAGACUUUGAAGACCGAGUCAGAAAAAGGCCAGGCGGCUUCCUCCUGGCCCUCUUGGGGCAUCUAUUCUGAGAUGAGUCAAAAAGAAGGCAACGGCCAUGGCUGGGUAGAUGCCCCGGUUGACAGCACAGCUGAGCUCCCAGACAAUGGAGACAGUCCCCUGACAGCCCUGUGGGCGCGCCGUCCUGGACCUCCUUCAGAUGGCUGCAGGCCAGGUUGAUUUGGACGGUAACUCCCGACGAGAACCACUCAGCUGAGCCCCUUCCCAGAAUCGGGACCAAAAUAAAACAGAUUUGCGAGAGGUGAGGUAAUUUGUUGAUAAAUGACCAACACACCUGGGGUCACUGGCUGUACCAAAGCCAGACCCGCAGUGAGGUUCUUACUUCAAAGAAGGGGGGGUGGAGGAACUGGUCUAUCGUCACACACCCAGUAAGUGGAAGAGUGAAGACUUCAAACUUGGAGUUCCCAUCAGGGCUCAGUGCUUAACGAACCUGACCAGUAUCCAUGAGGACGCAAGUUCGAU